rnacentral:lncRNA from 1 species
AUAAAACCAGCCUCAAAUAACAUUAUCUGGAGGUUUUACCAUACUCAGAGCUGGUGAACCAAUUGUCUUCUAAAGCAUAGCAAAAUUCACUUUUAGGCAUUACUGUGAUGAUUCCCUAUUGUUUCCAAAAAGGUAGCAACACUUCUUACUAAUUGACGGCUACUUGGAUGCUUCAGCUCCCACGGCGCUGCACAUGGCAGGCAGCGAAAGCAGGGCCUUAGUAGCUACGCCUGAAACAACGGUGUCACCUCUCCUCUUCCCACCCUGAGGAAUUUCAUCGUAGUCCGAGUGAAUCGCUUGUAACUUCCCAAAGUGCCCAGCAGCUCAGUAACUGCCUCCAGCACCGUGGUACGGGCCAGCAAAGCGGGCUGCAGUGAGCUAGGAAAGUGGCCAUAAAGGGGAGGUGCUCCAUUGCUCCAGGAGCACAACCCCUGGGAUGAGCAGCAAGAGCAUCCCUCACGGGCUUCCCCACUGCCACGUCCUGCAACCUUAGGGCACAGUCCACUACCUGCUUUAAAGUCUGGACUUGGAAGUGAUACACUUCUGUAAAACUGAAUGGAUUCAGAAGAUUAUAAAUGGAUGGAUAAGACAGCACACCCAAUGGUC